CAAGUCACAUUUAACGCUCUCCUCAUCCAUUCCUUCCGAAUUAUUUUAUAUCCUAAAUAACAAUGUGUCGUCCCAGUUAAGCAAUAGAGUAUUCAUCGAUAACAAUAAAGAAAUAGCAAGAAAAGAAAAACCAUAAAAUUGACAAUUGCUUAACAAUUCUGUUUUGCAUCACUUCCCAUACGUUUACAUGCUUGGAGGAGAUUUUAAAAAAAUCGCUUGGCACACUCACUCGUCCCCCCCUUUUGCAGUCUAUUUCUGCCGUCCAUUGAGAGUAAAAGCUGGGCCAUCCCCCCAGCGCGCGCCUGUGCCGUGGAGCUCCCCCUUGCUGCGUGCAUCGUGAUCUCGUGGAUGCAGAGUCUUGCAGAGAGAACGCAGGGUCACCUUCUGUUGUUACUGCAAGGGGGGGGAAAAUACGGUCCGAUUCGCAGCAGACACUCUACUGGGCAGGACCAGAAGCAGCAUCUCUGGUGAUCUCCUGCAGGGGACCGACAGCUCUCUUUAAAGUUUAUGGAAACCUGACCUCCCAUUGGCGGAGAAGUGCAUGAGGAACCCAGCUCUCCUGCUGAGGACAGGUCUAGUCAUUAGAGCGCUUUGCCACAUCCAGGAAAAUGUCUGGCUCCUACGAUGAAUCUGCAGGUGCUGACGACACCAUGGACAGCUUCUGGGAGGUAAAAGUUUGCUGCACUUUU